UCUUUGAAUUCUGAACACGAUUCGUCUCCGGUUGGUGAACAGGCACGUUCCCGCCGCCUGAACGGCAGCUCAGCUCUGGUGUGUGGCAGAAGGCCCCCGACGUCCCCCCAUCGAUCGCUUCCUCCCGUGUUCAGACCAGCGGAAGAAUCCGUCUGGGACACAUCAGGCCGUGACCCGUCCAUCCAGCCGCCUGACCCUCCGUCCAUACAUCCGCCCAGCCAUCCAUCGUCUCUGUUCCAGUCCUCCGGUCCGGAUCAACAAACUCUUCUGCACCGCUCGUUCCACAGACUGAGUUUUACAGGCUUCCUGUGCAGGUUUGAUGUAAUGCUGCUUGUCAAAGAGCCGCCUGCCUCCUGAAGCCGAACAUCCACAGCUUUAUUAUGGAGCAGGAGGAGGAGGAGGAGGAGGAGGAGGAGGGGAAUGGGAGAAAACAGGGGAGAGCAGAACAUACAGAAUGAAAGGAAUGAAAACAGGGAUGAAGUGAUGAUUGAGGAGGAAGAGGAGGAGAAAAGCAGAGCUGGAUGAAGUAUUAAAAUACUUCACUCAGUAAAAGUAUCAAAAAACCUACAGUAGUAAAAGUACAGUAGUUAGCAUGCUAACAGCUAGCUGCUAACAGCCCUCUGUCUCUGACAGUCUGACAGUCUGCAGCUUCAGUUCACUACUGAGUCUAACAAUCAACAACAGAAACUCAUAAAUGUGAACAAAGGAAAUAUUUUGACUCAGGUUUGUGUCUCUGACUGAACUCAGAUCAGUUUAAUCUGCUCGUUAACUCAUCGUCAGACUCACUUCAUCAGACUGGACGUGAACGAGUCAGAGGUGUUCAUCGUCCUUCCAGGCAGCUAAUACCACUUAGCUCCACGGCUAACUGAGCUACUUGCUAACUGCAGCUGGUCUCUAUAGUGAAGAGAGCAGUUACUUUUGAUUCUGACCGUGUUUUAUUGACAAUGACUUUAAUCUCUUGAUAAUAUCCUGAUUAAUUCACUUAUAGUUUUGUGUAUAAAAUGUAUUUCUGAUAGAAAACAGGAAGAGGAAGCAGUUCUGAUGAGGAAGAGGGUGAGAGAGAGGAGGAGGACAGGGUGGAGGAGGAGGGUGAGAGAGAGGAGGAGGACAGGGUGGAGGAGGAGGGUGAGAGAGGGGAGGAGGAGUGAAUCUGUGGAUGAAUGAGGAGCGGGGAGGCAGAUUUAGAGAGUGGGAGGACGGUUUAUGAGUUUAUGGCUUUUUAAAGGAGACGGGGGAGGAGGGGGGAGGAGGGGGGAGAGAGGGAGCUACGUUGGGAGGAUGAGGAGGAGCCGGGGGUGAAGAUGGAUGUGGGGUCGUUCCAGGACACGCUGUUUUAAAUGAACGCCACAGUACCAGCCAAUCAGUCUGACUACAGCUCCCAUAAAUCCUGCUGCAGGCGGCCGCCACACACACACACACACGUACGUAUAUAUACGGCUGCUGUCCUGCUUUAUGGCUGCGUACACUUCAUAUCUUUUAUAAAAGACGUUCCUCAGUGAAUUAAAGAUGUAAACACAGUCAGACAGUGAGCGGCCGGGUCUGGUUCUGGUUCUGGUUCUGGUGUAUUUCUUACAAUAUUAACUACAAGUUUAAAAUGAUCACUGAACAUUUUUAUAAUUCAUCCAUUAAAUUGAUUUCUCUGAGAUUCAGCCUGUUUCCACUGUAAACUGGCUGCAGAUAAAUAAUCCAUCAGACUCAGUUCACAUCAGACUCAGCUUUAGCGCGCGUUUUGGCUCCCAAGAGGGCACUUUAGCUCGUGUUGUGGCUCCCAAGAGGGCACUUUAGCUCGUGUUGUGGCUCCCAAGAGGGCACUUUAGCUUGCGCUGUGGCGCCCAAGAGGGCAUUUUAGCACGCGUUGUGGCUCCCAAGAAGGCACUUUAGUUCGCGUUUUGGCUUUCCAAGAGGGCACCUUAGCACAUGUUUUGGCUGCCAAGAGGGCAUUUUAGCUCGCGUUGUGAGUGUUUGGUUAUGUUUUAACCAGCCAAGGGGGCAGUUUAGUGUGUUGUGCCAACCAAGAGGGCACUUUAGCAUGCGUUUUGGCUCCCAAGAGGGCACUUUAGCGUGCGUUUUGGCUCCCAAGAGGGCAUUUUAGCAUGUGUUUUGGCUCCCAAGAGGGCACUUUAGCGUGCGUUUUGGCUCCCAAAAGGGCACUUUAGCAUGCGUUUUGGC
ensembl:lncRNA